rnacentral:rRNA from 1 species
UACAGAGGGGGCAAGCGUUGUUCGGAAUUACUGGGCGUAAAGGGCGCGUAGGCGGCCUUCUAAGUCGAACGUGAAAUCCCCGGGCUCAACCCGGGAACUGCGUCCGAUACUGGAAGGCUUGAAUCCGGGAGAGGGAUGCGGAAUUCCAGGUGUAGCGGUGAAAUGCGUAGAUAUCGGGAAGAACACCCGUGGCGAAGGCGGUUCUCUGGGACAGUACUGACGCUGAGACGCGAAAGCGUGGGGAGCGAACAGG